GGCAAAAUAGGAGAAGGAGAAGGAGAAGAAGAAGAAGGAAAAGGAGAUGGAGAAGGAGAUAGAGAAAAAUAAAGAGAAGAAACUUGAAGUCGUCAGUUGUAAAUAUCCAUUUAAAGGUUAUAAUAUUAACGGUGACGGUCCAACUGAACUAAUGUCAUCCAUCUCGCAAUGAAUAAACGAGGGUCUUUACAAGCAUCAUGUAAAAAAAGGAAACAAGGAGGAUCACUACUUAGCCAAUUGCUCAAAACUUGAUAUUGACCAACUUUAUUUUGUAGUUGCAUUUCCAAGAAAUAAGGACUGGUUCUACAUAAUGUCUCAACCCAAUAAGUCCUAGAGUGAUGAGAGAUUGUGGACUUUAUGUUGCUGCCUACGCUCAGUUUUUGAGUGAUGGAUUAGAAGUACCAUCAUGUGAAAUUAGUGCUGACACCCUUCGCUUGAGAUAUGCUUCACACCUUUGGAAUUGUGGGAUCUCCCAGGCUCGAAAUGGCUAUGUUACUAACAAUGAAGAACCGAAGAUGCCUAGACCUAAAAAAGCUAAGAUCGAUGACAAUGUUGUGUUAACAACUAUUGAUUAGAUAGGUGGUUAUGUAUAUCAUAUCAUUGUGAAUUACCUUUUUGUUGAUAAGUUGUAUAAAACAAUUGGGUGAAUUGUUAAUUAAAAUGCUUUUUUGAUUA